rnacentral:rRNA from 1 species
AGUGAACGCUGGCGGUAGGCCUAACACAUGCAAGUCGAACGGCAGCACAGUAAGAGCUUGCUCUUACGGGUGGCGAGUGGCGGACGGGUGAGGAAUACAUCGGAAUCUACUUUUUCGUGGGGGAUAACGUAGGGAAACUUACGCUAAUACCGCAUACGACCUACGGGUGAAAGCAGGGGAUCUUCGGACCUUGCGCGAUUGAAUGAGCCGAUGUCGGAUUAGCUAGUUAGCGGGGUAAAGGCCCACCAAGGCGACGAUCCGUAGCUGGUCUGAGAGGAUGAUCAGCCACACUGGAACUGAGACACGGUCCAGACUCCUACGGGAGGCAGCUGUGGGGAAUAUUGGACAAUGGGCGCAAGCCUGAUCCAGCCAUACCGCGUGGGUGAAGAAGGCCUUCGGGUUGUAAAGCCCUUUUGUUGGGAAAGAAAAGCAGCAGGUUAAUACCCCGCUGUUCUGACGGUACCCAAAGAAUAAGCACCGGCUAACUUCGUG